rnacentral:lncRNA from 1 species
UACACGACACAAGGCAAAUGGAAUCCGUGUUUAGCAACUAUAUUAAAUGCCAUGUACGUAAAUUUUACAGCGCUACUCAUUCGAAGUGCGCACAGGUGCAUCCAGAAGACAAGUUUUU